UACGUAGGGGGCAAGCGUUGUCCGGAAUCAUUGGGCGUAAAGAGCGUGUAGGCGGCCCGAUAAGUCCGCUGUGAAAGUCCAGGGCUCAACCCUGGAAUGCCAGUGGAAACUGUCGGGCUGGAGUCCGGAAGAGGCGAGUGGAAUUCCUGGUGGUAGCGGUGAAAUGCGCAGAUAUCAGGAGGAACACCGAUGGCGAAGGCAGCCCCCUGGGUCAAGACUGACGCUCAUGCACGAAAGCGUGGGGAGCAAACAGGG
rnacentral:rRNA from 1 species